CAAUAGCGUAUAUUAAAGUUGUUGCGGUUAAAAAGCUCGUAGUUGGAUUUCUGCUGAGAACGACCGGUCCGCCCUUUGGGUGUGUAUCUGGCUCUUUCUUGGCAUCUUCUUGGUGAACGUUGCUGCACUUGACUGUGUGGAGCGCUACCCAGGACUUUUACUUUGAGGAAAUUAGAGUGUUUCAAGCAGGCAUAUGCCCUGAAUACAUUAGCAUGGAAUAAUAAGAUAGGACCUCGGUUCUAUUUUGUUGGUUUCUAGAGCUGAGGUAAUGAUUAAUAGGGAUAGUUGGGGGCAUUCGUAUUUAACUGUCAGAGGUGAAAUUCUUGGAUUUGUUAAAGACGGACUACUGCGAAANCANNNGCCAAGGAUGUUUUCAUNGA
rnacentral:rRNA from 1 species